AUUGAACGCUGGCGGCAGGCUUAACACAUGCAAGUCGAGCGGGGAAGGGUAGCUUGCUACCUGACCUAGCGGCGGACGGGUGAGUAAUGCUUAGGAAUCUGCCUAUUAGUGGGGGACAACAUUCCGAAAGGAAUGCUAAUACCGCAUACGCCCGACGGGGGAAAGCAGGGGAUCUUCGGACCUUGCGCUAAUAGAUGAGCCCAAGUCAGAUUAGCUAGUUGGUGGGGUAAAGGGCUACCAAGGCGACGAUCUGUAGCGGGGCUGAGAGGCUGAUCCGCCACACUGGAACUGAGACACGGUCCAGACUCCUACGGGAGGCACCAGUGGGGAAUAUUGGACAAUGGGCGAAAGCCUGAUCCAGCCAUGCCGCGUGUGUGAAGAAGGCCUUUUGGUUGUAAAGCACUUUAAGCGAGGAGGAGGCUACUGAGAUUAAUACUCUUGGAUAGUGGACGUUACUCGCAGAAUAAGCACCGGCUAACUCUGUGCCAGCCGCCGCGGUAAUAC
rnacentral:rRNA from 1 species